CUGCAAGGCGGCUUCGAGCUGAGGCUCCUUCACUGUGGAUGACACCAGAAUGCAUCCCUCCAACCCCCAAACAAAUGGGGGCGAGGUCUAGCACCAAUGCAUAUCCACUCCUGAGUUGUUUAACAUGUCUACGAUCAUCUCGUAAGCCAUGC
rnacentral:rRNA from 1 species